rnacentral:lncRNA from 13 species
CUCACGAGGGAAAGACAACAAUUUGAAGAUGUAAAAGAGGAGAUACAGAAGGAAAAAGAAGUCUUUGAGAGAAAGAAGGGAUUGACCAUGAAAGAAAGAGAUGAGUUUGAUCUGAUGAAGUCUGAAACACAGGGACAAUUGGAGGAAAUAGAACAAAACAAACAAGACAUUCGUGUGGAGAAGGAAAAGCUGGAUCAGAUCAAAGCUGAGUUAGAAAGACGGUCUGAAGACAUCAAUCAGCUCAUGGAUGAGACAAGACGGGAGAGGGGGAAGGUUGAAGAACUGGCUAUCCAAACUCAAAAACAAAGAGAAGAAAUGGUGGGUUUUAUGGAAAAGAACAAACAAAAGCAGAACAAACUGGAACUCAUGAAUGACAAGAUUGAAAGAGAGAAACAAGACAUCGAAGACAGUCGGGAUGUGCUAACAAAGGAGAGAGAGGAGCUGGAACAAAUGAGGAGUGAGAUACAGCAACAGAGAGAGGAGCUGGAACAAAUGAGGAGUGAGAUACAGCAACAGAGAGAGGAGCUGGAACAAAUGAGGAGUGAGAUACAGCAACAAAAAGAGGAGACAGAAUCUCACAUGGAAGACCAAAGGAAAGAGAAAGAACAUUUGGAACAAAUGACGACAGACAUGAAAAAACAGUUGCUAGAGGUGGACAAUGACAAGGAAAUGAUACAAAGUUCAAUGGGUGAACUGAGAGUGAAAGAGGCAGAAAUGGUGAGAGAAAAAGACAACAUGGAUAACAAGAUGGCUAGGCUCAAAGAGGAAGACGAUGGAAUGCGGGAAGAAAUAGGAAGGAAGAUGGACAUCUUAAAGCAGGAAAAUUGUGAAAUCAAAAGACUUAGAGAUGAAAUUGACAGUGAAAAGGACCAGCUGAAUGCAAAAUUGCUUGAGUUGGAGAAAAUGCGUGAAGAACUAGAAAGAGAGAAGAAGGAAGUGAACAACAGGAAGGAUAAAACACUGAAAGAGAAAGAUCAGUUGGAAGAGAGGCGAGGUAAGAUGAGCAAGGAGAAAGAGGAAUUGGAUAUCAGUCUUGAACUGAUGAAAAGACAAAGGGAAGACUUGACGAGCUUGAAGGCUGAAGCAGAAGCACAGAACGAGGCUAUGGAAAAAGACUGGAAGGAAAAGC